AUUGGAAUUUAGGAUAAUAGUACAUUUCUUUCAGACAAUGACUUAUUUUAGAAUAAUCUAGAAAUUGCAGGCAUUCUUUGUUUUCAUGAGCUGGAAAUUAAAGUUUAGAAACUUAAACAGUCCUGCUGCCCUUCCAGGUCUGCCAUGUGUGGGUUCAUUAUGCUUCUGUUGUUUGGGGCACAUUACCUUAUAUGGGCUUCUGAGCUACAUAAUGUUGCUCAUAAA